rnacentral:rRNA from 1 species
GAUGAACGCUAGCGGCAGGCUUAACACAUGCAAGUCGAGGGGUAUAGUUCUUCGGAACUAGAGACCGGCGCACGGGUGCGUAACGCGUAUGCAAUCUACCUUUUACAGGGGGAUAGCCCAGGGAAAUUUGGAUUAAUACCCCAUAGUAUGUUAGAGUGGCAUCAUUUUAACAUUAAAGUUCCAACGGUAAAAGAUGAGCAUGCGUCCCAUUAGCUAGAUGGUAAGGUAACGGCUUACCAUGGCGACGAUGGGUAGGGGUCCUGAGAGGGAGAUCCCCCCCACUGGUACUGAGACACGGACCAGACUCCUACGGGAGGCAGCAGUGAGGAAUAUUGGACAAUGGGCGCAAGCCUGAUCCAGCCAUGCCGCGUGCAGGAAGACGGUCCUAUGGAUUGUAAACUGCUUUUGUACAGGAAGAAACACUCCCUCGUGAGGGAGCCUGACGGUACUGUAAGAAUAAGGAUCGGCUAACUCCGUGCCAGCCGCCGCGGUAACAC